rnacentral:rRNA from 1 species
GACGAACGCUGGCGGCGUGCUUAACACAUGCAAGUCGAACGGAAAGGCCCUGCUUUUGUGGGGUGCUCGAGUGGCGAACGGGUGAGUAACACGUGAGUAACCUGCCCUUGACUGUGGGAUAAAUUCAGGAAACUGGGGCUAAUACCGGAUAGGAGCUACUGAUGCAUGGUGGGGGUUGGAAAGUUUCGGCGGUUGGGGAUGGACUCGCGGCUUAUCAGCUUGUUGGUGGGGUAGUGGCUUACCAAGGCUUUGACGGGUAGCCGGCCUGAGAGGGUGACCGGCCACAAUGGGACUGAGAGACGGCCCAGACUCCUACGGGAGGCAGCAGUGGAGAAUAUUGCACAAUGGGCGGAAGCCUGAUGCAGCAACGCCGCGUGCGGGAUGACGGCCUUCGGGUUGUAAACCGCUUUCGCCUGUGACGAAGCGUGAGUGACGGUAAUGGGUAAAGAAGCACCGGCUAACUACGUG